rnacentral:rRNA from 1 species
UACGUAGGCAGCGAGCGUUGUUCGGAAUUACUGGGCGUAAAGAGUGCGUAGGCGGUGUUCUAAGUCUGGUGUGAAAUCUCCCGGCUCAACUGGGAGGGUGCGCCGAAAACUGGAGGGCUUGAGUAUGGGAGAGGAAAGCGGAAUUCCUGGUGUAGCGGUGAAAUGCGUAGAUAUCAGGAGGAACACCUGCGGUGUAGACGGCUUUCUGGACCAUCACUGACGCUGAGACACGAAAGCGUGGGUAGCAAACAGG